GCUCCGGGAGUUCCGGGCGGUCCGGGCGCUCCGGGCGCUCCGGGCCAGGGUGUUCCGGGUGUUCCGGGUGUUCCGGGUGCUCCUGGAGUUCC
rnacentral:tRNA from 1 species